rnacentral:rRNA from 1 species
GCGCGGACGGAGAGGGUGCGGGGGGCGUGGCCGGAAUCACGGGGCGGAAAGGGCGGGUAGGGGGCCACCGUAAGGCCGCGGGGAAGGUUCGGGGCUCGACCCCGGUUCGGCGGCGGGGACGGGGGGGCUUGGGUACCGUAGAGGCAGAGGGAAUUCCGGGUGUAGCGGUGGAAUGCGUAGAGAUCCGGAAGAACACCAGUGGCGAAGGCGGUCUGCUGGGCGGUGAGACCUUUGGUCUCUUCAACCGACACUGAGGCGCGACAGCGUGGGGAGCAAACAGGAUUAGAUACCCCAGUAGUC